rnacentral:rRNA from 1 species
UCGGUGACCAGUGGCAAACGGGUGAGUAACGCGUAAGCAACCUGCCCUUAAGUAGGGGAUAACUCUGAGAAAUUAGAGCUAAUACCUUAUGUGGUGAUGGAGGUAAGGCUUCACCACUAAAGCCUUAGGGCGCUUAAGGAGGGGCUUGCGUCCGAUUAGCUAGUUGGUAGGGUAAUGGCUUACCAAGGCGACGAUCGGUAGCUGGUUUGAGAGGAUGUCCAGCCACACUGGGAUUGAGAUACGGCCCAGACUCCUACGGGAGGCAGCAGCAAGGAAUAUUGUGCAAUGGGCGAAAGCCUGACACAGCGACGCCGCGUGGGGGAUGAAAGCCCUCGGGUUGUAAACCCCUUUUCUCAGGGAAGAAUAAUGACGGUACCUGAGGAAUAAGCCUCGGCUAACUACGUGCCAGCAGCCGCGGUAAUACGUAGGAGGCAAGCGUUAUCCGGAUUUACUGGGCGUAAAGAGGGCGUAGGCGGCUUUUCAAGUCGGAUGUAAAAUCUCCCGGCUUAACUGGGAGGGAUCACCCGAUACUGUUAGGCUAGAGGACAGCAGAGGGAGGUGGAAUUCCCGGUGUAGUGGUGAAAUGCAUAGAUAUCGGGAGGAACACCAGUGGCGAAGGCGGCCUCCUGGGCUGUUUCUGACGCUGAGGCCCGAAAGCGUGGGGAGCGAACAGAAUUAGAUACUCUGGUAGUCCACGCCGUAAACGAUGGACACUAGGUA